CACUUUCCUUUGCAGAAGUGGCCCUGUCUUCUGAGCAGAGCGAGAUCUCCUGGAUCCAGACCAGAGGACUCCCUACGAGAAAGUCCUGCUGGAGAAUUGUGGGCAUGUGAUGUCUCUGGGGCAUGAGCUGUGUCAUCCAAUUUUGAGUCGUCUGCAAAUUUGGGGAGGUGCUCGGAGGGUCGCCUUGUACGUUUCCUGAGGACCUCAAGAAAGAAAAGAAUUGAAGGCGCCGAAGUUCCCAAGCCUGCCCUCAUCUCCAUGUUGGAAGAAGGAGAUGAUCUAUUUGUCCAGGACUCAUUGGACACAGAGAUGUCUGCAGGGGGCUGCCCAGGUGGUGGGCGAGAGAGGAGUAAACGGAGUAAGCAGCGGGAAAGGGGAAGUGGAGAAAAAGAAC